UACGUAGGGGGCUAGCGUUGUCCGGAAUCAUUGGGCGUAAAGCGCGUGUAGGCGGUUCGGUAAGUCCGCUGUGAAAGUCGGGGGCUCAACCCUCGAAAGCCGGUGGAUACUGUCGGGCUAGAGUACGGAAGAGGCGAGUGGAAUUCCUGGUGUAGCGGUGAAAUGCGCAGAUAUCAGGAGGAACACCAAUUGCGAAGGCAGCUCGCUGGGACGUUACUGACGCUGAGGCACGAAAGCGUGGGGAGCAAACAGG
rnacentral:rRNA from 1 species